CACGGCAGACCAGCUCCCCUUCCAAUCUCAGGCAUGUCGGCUCCUACCUAUAAUCCCAACUCUCAGAGGUGGAUGCAAGAGGCUUAGGGGUUCGAGUCUAGCCUAGGCUACACACUGCUAUCCAAGGAAUAGCAGUGGGACAAUUUUUCCCAGAACCCGAGGCCAAGUUCCCUAUUUUGUCUUCCCUUCCUUGUGUGUGUUUAGUAAGUCACGUGCCAGAUGGUGUCUCCUCUGCCACUGUUUUCUGCCUUUGGACAUCAAAAGGAGGUCAGCAGUCAAGUUUUCUUCCCUUUGCUUCUCAGCACAUGGGGAUUUUCGAUGUUCUUCCAGGAGCUCCAGCCCCAAUGGGCAGCCAGGAACGGGAGUAGGAGGCCAGCGGUGACCCGCGCUGAGAGGACCCAGCAAGUUUUGGGCUCUGCUUAUUCCGUUGACUCGGUGAGAGACUGGGGACCAUAUCUUGCUGACUGAUGGCGGCUGCACUGUGUCUGCAUAAGAGGCUGAAUUUCACCGUGGAGCUAGCCCAGCCCUCUAAACUUCAACCACUUGAAAGGUCUCCAUCAAAACACUUUCUGGUACACUCUUCCUCUUACAUGGUCUGAAACAACGGCAUUGUCCCACAAUGACACUGGCCAAGAGGGAUCAAAGGGGUUUGUUGCUGUUGCCCAGACACCUGUUCUUCCUUUGUGUCCCAGGCUGGUCUUGGACUCACUGGCUAGCGUGGGCUGGCCUCUAAUUCAUGAUUCUUCUGCUCCUUCAUCUCAAGCGCUAGAAUAACAGCCAUGAGGUGCCACGCCCAACUCCAACAGAAUGCUUUUAAAACCUUCUAGGCCUUUAAGAGUAUACACAAACACUGGCCGGGCUGGGGGAAUGGCUCAGUGGUGAGGAGCACUGGUUGCUUCUCUAGAUGACCUGGGUUCAGUUCCCGGCACCCACCUGGCAGCUCACAACUAUCUGUAACAGUUCUAGGGGAUCUAUUCCACCAGGCUCACACAUGGUACACGCACAUAUAUAUGUAUGCAGGUGAAAAUACUCAAACACACAAACUAAAAUCAAUAAUCUUAAAAGAUAAUUGGUCUAUCAUCAAAAACAUCACAUAAAGUUUCUCUGUGUGUGCACACGAGUGCAUACAGUAUAAGUCUCUCUCUCUCUCUCUCUCUCUCUCUCUCUCUCUCUCUCUCUCUCUGUGUGUGUGUGUGUGUGUGUGUAUUGACUGGAUAUGUCAGUAUGUCAGUGUGUAUGUGUGGAAGCCAGAGAUAGAUAUGGGGUGUCUUUCAUUUCUGCUGCCUACCUUGUCAUGUCAGACAGUGUCUCUCUCACACAGUUUAGAGUUUAUGGAUUGCUAGACCAGCUGGCCAGUGAGUUCUCAGAGCUUUGAUUAUCUACAGUUCCACCCUGGCCAAAUAUGCACAACCAUGUCUGGCUUUGGCUUCUUUUUUUUAAACAUGGGCUAUAGAUUGGGGCUCGGGUCCUCAUGCUUGUUCAACAGACACUACACCAACUCCCCGGUUCCACAGAACGUCAUACUUGCUAGAAUUUUGAAAGUUUUACCCUACCCUACUUCUAAGAUUGGAUAAUUACAGAGAAAUUUCCAUACGAAAAGCCUCCAGUAUCAUGCUUCAGAUAGCCAAGGGUGAUAGGCACAGGAGGAGGAAGGUUUUGUUGUUUUGUUCAUUUGUUUUGUAGGGUGCUUCUAGAUCAGCGGUUCUCAACCUGUGGGUUGUGACCCCUUUGGAGAUCAAAUGACCCUUUCAUAGGCGUGGCAUAUUAGAUAUCCUGUAUAUUAAAUAUUUACAAUUCAUAACAUUAGUAAAAUUAUAGCUUUGAAGUAGCAACAAAGGUAAUUUUACGGCUGGAGGUCACCGCAAAAGAACUAACUGUAUUGAAGGGCCACAGCAUUAGGAAGGCCGAGAACCACUGCUCUAGAUCAACGGAACUUCACACAUCCCCCUUGCUGUCUCCUAGCGACCAUCUUUGUCCACUGCUCUAUAACCUCUCCUUCACCACAGUAACUUCAGACCUCACAGAUCUGAGAGAAAAUCUUCCUGGAACUCCACCUCUGGGCUGGGUGAGCCGACAGUCCGGCUCUCCUAGCUUGGGGCAAAGCACACGGCUUAUGCAUGCAGGCGGUGUUGGGUCAGUGUGGGAAGCAAGAGUCUACACGAGAGUCAACAAGCCCAGGACAGGAGAGGACCAGCUGAGUCCGUUCAGAAGUGGCUGAGGACAGACAAAGAAGGACAGCAUCAGGCACCCAGAAAAGACCUUAAUCCAGAUCUGAUGAGAAGAUGAUGACCAAGCAUUAAGGCACUUGCUACCUCGACUCUUACUAGCCGCAACUGAUGUACGAGAGUACUAGCUUAUUCCAUUAAACCCACAUCGUUAAAACUCGUGUGUAGCGUAGAUUUAAGCUCAGCUAUGUUAAUAUUAAUUCUAUAUAGUUAGCUGAAAGAUAAAGUGAAAACCAAGUCUAGCUACUCUCUACUUAAAGGACUCAGAGCACAGGACCGUGUGUCCGCAUGAGCCCAGAGUUCCCCUCCACCAUGGCACAUGUAGCUCCCCCAAGUCACUCUCCCUCCCACACUUGUCACUGCCCAUCCAAAGAGAAGAGUUCUCUCUAGACAACUGCUCCCUUACACAUUUUCAUGCCAUUCUAGACAUAGUGGCUUUCUGGACUAGGGUCCACAGUCCAAAGGAAAGGGAAAGGGACUCUUCUCUACCUCAUUUUUCUCCUAAUCCUCUUUCCUCCAGCACCACUAGCAUAUAGUUGUUUUUUUUUAAACAUCCUGAUUAUGAUGCUUUUCAAAAAAAUUUUAAGUUUUUGUUCUUGUCUAUGUGGGUUUGAACAUGAGUGCAGUAUCCACAGGGGCCACAAGAGGGCAUCUAUCCCUCUGGAACUGGCUUUAUAGGCAGUUGUGACUUGGGUGAUGUAAGUGCUGGGGACACUCCAGAAGUGUUCUUGACAGCUUAGCCGUCUCUCCAGGCCCUGUGCUGCUGCUUUUGAACCCGAGAUUUUACCAUGGUGUGUUUUAUGCUGGUUCUCAUCAGCUGGUGGGCUGAGAAGGGCUUGGUGGGCUGAGGAGAAGGGCUUGUGGGAUCGGGACGUGCAUCCAAUGUUCUCUUCCUCCUCGCUCAGAAUUCAAUUAAGCAUCCCUCACAGAAUCCGUCUAUAGAAACAAUGUCAAGGGGAAAUCGAGUGCUCAGCAAACAGAAAAGCCUCUAAUGAAAUGCCUUAUUUUAUUGAUUGAUUGAUUUUCAGUAUAUAUAUAUAUAUAUAUAAUGUGCCUGGUGUUGAAGGGGGCCAGAAGAGGGUGUUAGAUCCCCAGAAUUGGAAUUACAGAGAGUCGUAAGCCACAAUUUAUAUGCCGGGAACUGAAUGUGGAUCCUCUGCGAGAGCAGAAGGGUUUUUAAGAACCAGGCCAUCUCUCCGGCCUCUGAAAUCUUUCUCGACCCGACAUUUUAUUAUAUACAUAUAGCGCCUAUGCUUCCCAGAACGUGGAACGCUCAGUUACACAGCAGGAUGUUUCUUGACGAAAUCUGUUAGACCCUUCAGCAGCUGGACCUUGUGUAUGCCAAUCACAGACCUUGGGUGUGACAUUCAGUCCUCCCACAUUUGCCCUCCUUCUGGCUACUUGUUCUUCGUGAUCAGGAAGAACCGAGCUACUGGCUGCGAAGCCUUCCCUGAUUUUCUUGUUCCUCCCAUCACCUGCAGUAUUUCUUCUUCAUGUCACCCCACUGCACAGAUGGCCACGCAUGGCUCACACACGGUGCGCGCUCACAGACCGGCAUGGGAAGAUGAUCCCUCUACCCGCUGUUAAGUAUCUAGGACGGGGAUCUAGGAGUGGAUAGAGGAUCCACCACCAGCACAGAGCCCAGCACACCGAUGCAACAGAACCUUCUGUGGCUGACGAUGACCUCUAUGUGACUUCUGUCCACUUUCAGAGGCACUUAGACAGGACAGGGCUGGGUUAAAGAAAACACACACAAGAGGACAAUGGACUUGGUUGGUUUUAAAUUUCCUGAUGCACAUUUACACUCCAAUUUUGUGUUAUAUGAACUCGACAUUGAUCAGCAUGAGAUAUCAUGAGAUAACACAUAGCACACAGCUGAAGUUCUCCUGUAUUUACCAGAGUCAGGGUCAUUCUGGUGCCUCAGACAUGGGCCUGGCACACUAACAGCCAUCCCAUUCACUUUAAAGUAGUACUGUCUGCUGUCUUCUAUCCCGAGUCUCCAAAAAACAAAACAAAACAAAAACAAAAACCAGACCCAAGGACACACUCUUCACUAUUCCACUCCUGGCCUCAAACUGGAACAAAUCAUAAUAAAAAGCUGUAUUAACUCUGAGCUCUGAACUUCCCAGCGUUGAGACAAGGGAUCGAGUGAGAAGAAUGUUAGGCCAAACCUUGGGACACCGAAUACACUGACAUGGAAGGAUACGAAAGGGAAGAGGGGUGCAGGGGAGAAUGGUUCCUCCUGUCUCUCCAUGCCCAUUAUCGAAAAGCAGAAUCUCUCUCUCUCUCUCUCUUUCUCUCUCUCUCUCUCUCUCUCUCUCUCUCUCUCUCUCUCUCUCUCUCACACACACACACACACACACACACACACACACAGAGAAAUCCUUUUUAAGGAUGUACUUUACCCCAGUUAGGCUGUCUCCAGUGUAUGCUAAUUCCCCAAGAGUGUAAGGGGCAUCUCAAGGAAGGAUUGUCUACAGUGGCUCAGUCACAUGUCUGUGGAAGAUUGUCUUAAUUUUUGCAGGAAAAUCCAGUCCAGUGUGGGCAGCAUCAUUCCUUACAAAGAAAGUCCUGCACUGUGUUAAGAGUACAAGCAAGUAUACAUGCAUUCAGUCCUCCCACCCUUGACUAUGGUGAUGGCGUGACUAGCGAUUAGAAGUUCUUGCCUAGACUUCUCCACAAUGGUGGACUGUAACCUUGAAUUGCUCACUGAAACAAGUCCCUUUUGCCCUGGGUUUCUUUCUUUUCAGCACAUGACAUCACAGGAACAGAAAUGAAUCUAAGAGCACACUGAAUUAAUAAACCCAAGCUUUAACUUCAGAGCAAGCAAGCAAGCCAAUGGCCAACCUAAAAGGAUGGGUACUCACAGAACUUGCCAACAAACAACAGAUCUUUUGGCAUAAGAUCCGAAGCUCUUGAAGAGUGACUGCCAGAAAUGGGUGGAGGGAUCAUAAAGGAGCGUUGAGAGUGGGGUGGGGCGAGGGAAGGGCUAAGGAGAGAAAGGCAUAGAAUCAGGUAUGUGCCGCAGCUGCUCUCUCACCUAACCAGUGAGCUGCAGCACAAAGCAUUAAAACCACUGUGUUUACAUAGCUGAGCCACAUGCCCUCCUCAACAUUGCUACAUGUGUCGCCACACUGUACGGGAAUAAAAAGACUAAGAAAUAAUGCUCUCCUCCUUUCUCUCAUACUUAAUUACUCAGCGGGAUGGUCCUGGGUAGCAUCGACGACCAGGAGCGAUUGGGUACUUUAUUUUUAAAGAGGGUGGGGUUUCUUAACGCCCAUCAAAGAGCAGAGCACAUUACAGUGAAGUAAGAUUCAGUCUUACAAAGUUAUCAGACCCUCAUGUUACAACCUGGAUGAAACUUAAGGACGCCAAGCUAAACAGUAAAAUAAGGACAGCAUUAAAGGGUGAGUAGUACAGGAUUGAGCCUACAGGGGUCCUGGAAGUAGCCAGACACAAAAGGAAAAUGGCUGCCGGAGGAAGCAGGAAAGGAGUGGUUUGAUGAGUUCUUGUCACGGAUGAUGAAAAAGAAUUCUGAGAUUGUUUGCACAACAUUGUAAACGCUUAGCGUCACGAAACUAUAAACUGAAAAGGGCCUAAAAGGGUUACACACAUUUUAACAAGUAACUCUUGACAGUGUGUGCGUGCGUGUGUGUGUGUGUGUGUGUGUGUGUGUGUGUGUGUGAGAGAGAGAGAGAGAGAGAGAGAGAGAGAGAGAGAGAGAGAGAGAGAAGUUCUGGAGACAGAAAGCCAGGGCCUCUUGCACCCCUAACCUGAAAAGUUUCCAAAAUAAGAUGUGAACUUUUUCUGGCCUCAGCAAUUCUUUUGACCUUAGAGACAGUCAAGGAGUUACAAACUGACAGAGCACAUGAUUGCUAAGUGUUGCACUGUUUGCAACAGAAAGAGACUUGGAAAAAAAAUCAUUAAAACAUAUCUCUUAUAGAAGCUAUCUCUGUACAAUAGACAGCUCUCCCCACUGAAGGAGAGUAAGCCUAAACAUACAGAGGGAAAAGAAAUCAUCCCAAAUUUGCAGGCAGUGAAGGAUCAAACAGACAGAGUGCAUCAUUCUGAGCGAGCCCUUAGGAAGAACUGCAACGGCAUGUAUGUAUGUAUGCAGAACGCACAGCAAAUGUAUCCCAGUGGUGGCUCUAAGAAAUACUCUGAUGGACAGUGAGGUUCCUACUCAGAUCUUAAAUGUAAUCAAUAGAAGUUAUUAUCAUAUCAUUACUAUGUGUAAUGCUUAGACUCAAACCCAAGACCAUACACAUAGGGUAGGCACGUACUGAGUCACACCUCCUCACAGGAAUGAACAGUCCAAAAAGGAAACCAAGAAAACAAUUCAGGGAUCUGAAGAGUUGGCUUGUUGGUAAGGCUGAGUUUGUUUUCUAGCAUCCAUGAUGACUUGAAACCCCCUGUAGGCCCAGCUCUAGGGGAUCACACGCACACUCACACACAGAGUAAAGCAAAUGAUUCUACUGGCUGUGGUGGUAACAGAUACCUGCAAACUUAGUACCUGAGGUGGAGGCAGGAGAAUUGGGAGUUCAAGGCCAUCCCCAGCUAUAUAACAAGUUUGAAGUCACCCUGAGUGAGCUACCUAGACCCUGGGUCUGGAGAAGAGAGAAGAGGGAAAGGAGGGGGAGGUAAGAGAAGACAGCUAGUUCUUUUUACAAGAGUAAAAUGCUUGUUGAAGGUAAUGGACUUGAAGCAGAUCUGUGAACUAAAGACUAUGUAAAAUUGUGCUAUAAAUUAAAGAAAACUCAAAAAUAAACAGGAGGAGGCUCAUGGUGGAUUUCCUGGUACUUGGGAAGCUCGGGCAGGAAGAUUACAAGUUCAGGGUUAGUCUGGGCUACAUGGAAGACUGUCUGAGAAAAAGAAAAAAGAAAAAACAUACCCACAUUCACAGAUUCCAAAAUCUUAGUGUUUUAAGAUGUCAAUAUACUUCCACGAGUUAUCAAUGUAUUCAAUAUACUUAUUACAAAUAACUUCCCCAAAAGAGAAAUAAAGACAUGGAGCCUUCCACUCAUGUGGGGCUACAAGGGGUAAGAAUUCCUUCCCAGUGAUACUGAACACAGUGUAGACACCCACGCUCCCUACUUAUGGAAGAGUUGUAGCCAUGAGACAGCACGGCCUUGACAGGGACAGCCAUACAGAGCAGAGGCCCCUGAAUGAGCGAAGACGGUUCUGUCAAACAAGGCUGGGAAAACAUAAGUAUAUGAAAGGGUGGCAAUCCCACAGCACAUGAAAAAUUAACUCCAAACAAGUUAAUGAUUUCAGGGUCAAAGGUAAAAGCACAAAACUCUUUAAAAAACAAAACAAAACAAAACAAUAAAACAAAGUGCAUCGGUUAAAUAUGCACGGCUUUCAGCAAUGGAUUCUCAGAUACAUGAAUACCACCAAAAUCCAAAAUUUCUUCACAACAAAGCAAUCAUGGAGAAAGUAAAAGGAGAGAGAAAUGCAUCUAGAAUAUGACAGGAAUCCCACAAUGCAACAAUCAAAAGACAAAUAAUCCAGCUUUAAAAACAGACAAAAUAAAUAAAUAAAUAAACAGGCAAGGACUUGAAUAGACACCCCUCCAAAGGAAAUAUACACAAAUAGUCAACAAGCACAAGGAAAAGAAUCAUCAUUACCACAGGCUGUGUAGAAAUGCAACUCCUCACUGAACCACUAUUGAUAGUCCCCAUGGUAGUUAUGAUGGUUUUAAAGAAUCACGAGCUGGGGGGAGGUGGGAGGGGGAUGUUUGCCCGGAAACCGGGAAAGGGAAUAACACUCGAAAUGUAUAUAAGAAAUACUCAAGUUAAUAAAAAAAAAAAAAAAAAAAAGAAGAAGGAAGACCAAAAAAAAAAAAAAAAAAAAAAAAAAAGAAUCACGAGCUGGAACGAUGUGAGAGGGAAACCCCUCUAUGCAAGUGAGGAUGAAGGGGUUUAGUUGCUAUAGAAACCACUUUUGUUAGUCUCUUUUUUUUUCUUUUCUUUUUCUUUCCGGAGCUGGGGAUCGAACCCAGGGCCUUGCACUUGCUAGGCAAGCGCUCUACCACUGAGCUAAAUCCCCAACCCCCUUUUGUUAGUCUCUUAAACAAGUCAAUAGAAUUUGUAUAUGACAGAGCCCACUUCUAGAUACACUGACCACCGACAGGAGACACAGUGACGCACGCCCUUGAACGGCUGAGUGGUGACGGUCAGACAGAAAAGUCAAAUAGAUUGAUGGAUAACCAUACAUAUGUAAUAGUAUAGGUAUACCUUUGGUGCCAGAGUAUAUGUGUACCUUAUACAAUAGCGUAUCAUUCAGCCCCAAACAGAGCUGGUUCUUCCUGUCAUCUGCCUAACUCUUGUGUGAGCAUCACACUAAGGUCUCACAGCUUUUAUGUGAAAUACUCAGAAUUAGUGACUUCACAGAGACGGAAGCAGAUAAAUGGCUGUCGGAUGCUGGGGAGGCAGGGAACAGGAAGGGCUGCUUCUGCACCCGGGGCUCUCUUUCGUGAUAGUGAAAGGCUUUGAAAAGAGAAGUGGCUGUUGUCCGAGAAUUAAUUUUUGUGCUAUGAAAAUUUUGUCUUGUUAAAAACAAAGUUUGAGAGAUAGCACUUCAGUGGGGCUGGAGAGGGGGGCUCAACCAAUGAGAACACUUGCUCAGGUAGCUCACCACCACCUGGAAGUCAGAUCCAAGGGAUUUAGCGCCCUCUUUAUGCUAUCCACAGGCACCCGCACACACACGUCAGACACACAGGUAAAACAAAUACACAGGAAUCAGAUGUCAUUUUACAACAAGAGAUUAAGUCACCGAGUCUCUGUUGAUGCUUUAACACGCAGAAGUUAGCUUUAGGACAGUGAACCAGCGUACAUGAAGAUCUUCUGCACCCGGCUACCACUCCGACCCACAUCCCGCAUGAAGGAUUGUGGAGAGGAGGGGAAGAAAUGCACUCCAAGUGGGGAGUCAUGUAAUCCUGGGUCCCACGCAGCAGGAACACGAGCUUGGAAGUUAAGUGAGUUCACUCAGUCGGGGCUGAGAGGCCGUGUUCUGGGCGUUCUUACCUGUAUCUUUCCAAACAUGAUCCAUACAUGUACAAUCAAAGAGGCUCCGUGUCCUUCCUCCUUUCUGGUGAGAAACGGAACUGAAGCUUCUGCUUCCAAAGUCCACCAUGCAUAGAACCUUGGGUAGGAGAUCUGGGUCCCCCUUCACCAAGUGCUGUAGGUAAACAGUUCCCUGGUCUCUGGGUUAACGCCUCAUGAGCGCCCUCUCCAGGACCACACCAGGAAAGACAGGAGGAGAAGGGUGCAGUUUAUUCCUAGGGUUCUUGUCCUGCUGAUUGAGGUGAGCCUGGAUCUCAGACCUCCAGUCUCCCCGGGGGGGAAAUGCAUGCACGAACAAUUAUUUUCUGAGAGGUCAGGUAAAUUAAUUCCUAAUAAAUCCUUUGUCAACAGGUACCAGCCACUAGAACCUGAGACACAUUUCUUAGAGUCAUUUCAAUGUAAUUAUUAAAAUGUGGGACGGAUAGAGUAGGGGAAGGGAGUAGAAAACUUAGAGCUCUCAUUGUAAAGGCAUCUUAAAAAUCUCUUAAACUCCAGCUGGAGAGAUGCUCAGAUGGCCGCUCUUCCAGAGGUCCUGAGUUCAAUUCCUGGCAACCACAUGGUGGCUCAAAACCAUCUGUGAUGGGAUCCGAUGCCCUCUUCUGGUGUGUCUGAAGACAGCAACAGUGUACUCACAUUCAUGAAAUAAAUAAAUCUUUAAAAAGAAAAAAAUCUCUUAACUCCUUCGAGGGGCGUGGUCCGAUCAAUGAGAGGGGUUCAAUCAAAUGGCUUUCCUGAGGUGGUGGAGGAAGGGUGAUUGGAACGGAGUCUGAACUGUUGAGGUUUCGUGUUCAGUUUUUAAAAACUUUGUCUCAGGCUGGAGGGAUUGUUAAGAGCACUGACUGCUCUUCCAGAGGUCCUGAGUUCAAUUCCCAGCAACCACAUGGUGGCUCACAACCAUUUGUAAAAGGAUCCAAUGCCCUCUUCUGAUGUGCCUGAACACAGCUACAGUGUACACACAUACAUUAAAUAAAUAAAUAAAUAAAUAAAUAAAUAAAUAAAUAAAUCUUUUAAAAAAUUGUCUUAUUUUAAGUGCCAUUAAAAAUUCCUAAUGCUGAUGGUUGCUUGGGAAAGGAAACGAGAGGUACAGACAUUUCUUCCCCUUCUAGUCUUUGCACCCCUUCAUCAUUUCCAUCAGUGCCAUGUUGGACCCAGAGUUCACAGUGUCCCUGACAGCCACCGUGAGGCGGGGGCCUAGGGAGAAUGUCUCCUAGCUCUUUGAAAAGCAAGCAGCCGUUACUGCUGUGAUCGCUGCACACCUUGGCCCUGAUUUUCUGCGCCUGAUAGUAAGGCACCGAAGAACGAUGUUGUCAUUCAUUGUUUAUCAGAUACGAAGAAUGAGAGAUGGGGGAUCUCUGAGAAAUGAACCGAGCUCUUGAGUUACUAUAUUACGUACAAUUGUAAAUACAUUAGCAGCAGGAGAAACUACUAAUGCUAUUUUUAAACAUUCCGGAACCUACAGAAGCCUCAGCCAAUGUUGCUGAAUAUUUCAGGCGGUCUACAGUUAUGGAUCUAAGCUCAGAGAGGGAAAAGCAAACCUCUGGGUUCUCUCCCUCACUUCAUCUUUUCUUAAAACACCCCCACAAAUUACAAACAAUCUCAGUUAAUUAACAAUUUAACCGUACCUGGGGCUCUCACUUCAAUCCCCGGCACACUGCCUCAGGCUUUGAAAUGAAAAUCCCAUGUUAUGGCGGAGGAUUUAGAGACUGACGGAGUCAAAAAGAAACCAUAACUCCUGCGUUUUUAAUCAUCCAUCCUCCCAGUCCAUGAUUUACCCCACAAUCCUCACUGGGAAAAAAAAUGAAGAAAAGUUUUGAGGAACGAGUUAUUCUCAAAGUAAAUCUCCUACCAGCCUCUGUCAAUCACGUUAGCCCUUCCCCCCUAACUUCCUGCCUGAAAACUACACUACUAUUUAAUUACUUGGCCACUUCCCAUUUGCAGAAAAACAUAAAGAGCCAAAACAUGGAGAUGAGGUCCUAGCCGUAAAUUGUCCCCUUACGCAAUGAAACUUGCUUUCUCCGGUGUGAUGUGGUGAGCACUGUGGAAAACCCCUACAAGUGCAAUUCUGCCUAAGCCCAGAGCCCCCAUCACUUACAGCCAGCCCUACAGUUCUCAGGGCUGAGGGCCAUCCAUCAGAGCCAGGCAGCAUGCUCUCUAGAGCUGGUGAAGGGCACAGCCAGGAGUCAACUCUGUCCACCACCCUCACCCACCCCAAAUUUCUCUUCUCUUCCCAUGGGAUGAUAAAAGCAGAGGAAAGGGGUGAGAUGCUGCCAGUGCUGGGGCAUCAUGUAGUGUGUGGAAGACACUAGGUUCCACCUCCCACUACCAAACUGAGGUAGAUCCGUAAGAAGCACACCUAUAAAAGGAUUCCAUGUCAGGACUGCACCCCAUCUGCCAUGCUGUCUCUUAGGAAAUCGGACUAUUCUGCCAUAAUCCAAUGAAGACUGUAGUUACAUCUCCAGGCUCGUGAACUCUGAAGAAUCCACGUCUCUCCUAUUCUUCCUCUGUAGCGAGACAGAAAUCAUUAUCAGAUUAUGCCACAUCCUGGAAUGUGCCAGCACGUCUGGCCUCUGAAGGCUGCUGCUUCCAGUGGGUCGCAGAGACUAAGUGGGGUCUGGUGUUUCAAAGCCUGGGAAAGCAUCCGCUGGUGACUUCUCUAGAAGGCUGCCAGCCAAGAAACAAAGGCAGCUAGUGUUAUUAAAGCCACCCAUUGAUGUGUACAAGAAAGUGACUUUUGAUGCUGUUUAGAAAGCCAUAGAUAUGAGAGAGAAAGAGAGAGAGAGAGAGAGAGAGAGAGAGAGAGAGAGAGAGAGAGAGAGAGAGAGACUGAGACUGAUAAGGCACAUAAGAAACUCAGCAGGGUUACGGCAGGGGGAGAUCGGGAGGUAGGAUACUCAUGUGUAUUUUCUUUUUUAAAGACAUCUUUAUAUUUUUAUUAUUUUAUUUGUAUGGGUAUUUUGUCUGCAUAUAUGUAUACGCACCACAGAAGAGAGAAUUCAAUUUCCUAGGACUAGAGUUCCAGAUGGCUGUGAGCCACUAUGUGGAUUGUGCUGGGAAUUGAACCCAGGACCUUUGCAUGAGCAACCGCCAAGCCAACUCUCAAACCUUCCACUUGGUUUCUGCACAUGUUUUACUGAGUGUAUGAACAGGCAUUACUUUCACUAUUAGUUUUAAAAGAGUUGAAAUAUGGAAGAAAAUAAUGACUAAUAUUUCCUGAACUACCAAGUCCUAAUACUAGGGCUAAUACCAAGCCCUAACAGGAGAGCAAUUGUGUCCUACAUCUAGAGCCAAGACUGGGUUAGGAAAAGGCCUUUGGAUACUAGAGUGCUGAAGGUCCAAUCGUAUCCAUGCAAGUAGACGGGAGUUCCUAAAACAAGACUGUCUAAGAUGCCUGGCAAACUUAGAAGCACUGGCUAUUGCCCCAAGACAGCACCACUUCCUUUCUCCUUCUUAGAAGCAGGGCCCUGAGGAUGACCCUAGGAUCAUCUUUCCUGGCACCCAGCCAGCGCACUCACCAGGAAUUUGGCUCAAAUCUAGGAACAGCCUCUGAGUUUACUUUCCAUACAAAGGACGACCCCACAGAGAAAAGGAAACAAACUCACUAGGAGUCCCCAAGGGCAUAUAGUUUGAGUUGGAGGCUAUUAAAAGAAUUGUAUUAGCAGGGAAAAUGCCAAUCUCAAAUAGUAUUUCAAGCUAAAGUUCAAGUGGAUGCAUUUAAAAUGUCAGGGUCAUAAAACAACAAUAAGAAAAAUGUAAGCAAAUUUCCAUGCAGUCUGGUGGUUCAGAUACUGUUCCGGUUCAUGUCUUCUAAAUGCAGUCAAUGAAGUAUUCGACACCCUGUUAUAGACACAACCCCUACCCCACAAGACUUACAGGGAAAAGUAAAUCAAAAAGUAAUUGUACACUGGUAAGUGUUCCAAGGGGAAAAAAAGACAAGACUUAAGUAAGAGAAUUUUGCAGGGAAUGGUCAGCCCAUUAGACAGGAGGAUGCUCUCAGGGGAAAUCUAAGCUGGAGCCUGCAAGAUGUGAUAAGGGCGGGGCUGGGAACACUUCUGUGCUGGGGCAGAUUUCUGAGAGCUUUGCAUAAACUGACCUACUUAAUCUUCAGUAUGCACUGCUGUGAAGAUGAGGCCAGAGUCACAAGCCAGGAAGUUUGAGAAGCUAACGAACAAGAAGCCUGGAGAUUCCCCAAACACCAGGAUCUAGAGUCUUCAUUCUACAACUGCCUCUCUGAGCACUCGGCUCCAAGAGGCGUGUGUGUGUGUGUGUGUGUGUGUGUGUGUGUGUGUGUGUGUGUGUGUGUGUGUUCCAGCAUGUGUGUCUGUGUUUUUGUGUGAGUGUGUGUCUGUUUCUGUAUGUAUGUGUGUCUCCAUGCUGUGUAUAUGUCUGUGUGUCUGUCUGUGUGUGUCUGUCCUUCCGUGUGUGUGUGUGUGUGUGUGUGUGUGUGUGUGUGUGUGUGUUAUAUACAUAAACAUUCCAGCCAAAUGAACAAGACCCAUAGAAACCCUAGAGGCAGAAUGAGGUUGGCAUGUUCCCUGCACCAGGAGGCAGCCAAGCGCCAGAACACAGUGUACAAGGUAACAAGAGGUGGGGAUGGAGAGCAGGCACAACCAGAUCAUGCCCAACCUUGUAGAGCUUGAUGAAGAAAAUGUCAGGAUGGGCUCAGGCAGGGGUGUGCCAAGAGGACCACACCUGAAAGAAUUACAAGACAUCAGUGCAAGGGCUACAGCAUUCUUGCUUCCAAAUGUUUACAUGCAGUCAAUAGCACUAAGCAUGAUUCAAGCCCCUCCCUCCCCCCAAAAAGACUAAUACUUACUUCUACAGUAAGAUUUUUAGGAUUCUGGUAAAAUAGAAACAAAAAGAGCCAUUUCUCUAGCAAAAUGGGCAAAGUGCCUGAAUAGGAAAAUCUACAAAAGAACAAACACGAAUGCAUAAGAAAGAUUUCAUACGUCCAUAAAUAGCUCCAUGCAUUUUUCUUGUGUUAUUGGUUUAAUUUCAUGCAUUUCUUUGGAGGGGUGUAUGUGUAGGUAUCAGGACCGUGUGGUGGUCAGACCUUGCAGGAGAUGCUUCUCUUCUUCUACUUGUGGUCCUGGGAGGGUCUUGCAGCAGAUGCCACCUGCUGAGCCCUAUCAGUCCCCCACCCCACCGCACCCCCAUUUUGUAAAGCCUUUGUUUAUCUCGUGUGAGGGAGAGGGUGGUAUUUGGAGGCACCAUGUUGCACAUGUGAAUCUCAGAGGACACCUUGGGAGUCAGCUCUCUCCUUCCACCAAGUGGGUCUCAGGGAUAGAACUCAAGUCCUGAGGCUUGGUGGCUGGUGCCUUUACACACUUGAGCCAUCUCUCCUGUCCUCUUACUACAUUUUAAAUGUGGUUUUUCUCCCGUGGUAAGACAGUUAUGGGAAUUGAGACCUCUCACAUAGUGUCAGAGGGACUAUUAACUGGUUUUGCCUUCCAAAUAACACAGGUUUCUUUCUUGAUUUUACAGUAAGGAAACACUUAGAAUGGCUUCUAACAUAUAGCUAAUGGAUGGAUGUUAACAAACUCACCCAAAGGGACUUCAUAAGUAAAGUGCAUUUCUAAAAUCAACCUCUCAAUCCCCUUUUGAUAACCUCAAAGUCACUUUCUCAACUGAGAAAAGUUGGGGUGUUUUUGUCUUUAAACUCUGCUUUAGCACGCAUGGCCCAACACCGAGAGUCCAGUGAUGUGACAGAGUUAUGAUCACGCUGCUUUCUUUUGUGACGCUGGAGAUGAAAUCCAGUGAGCGUACUUGGCAAGCACGCUACUGAGCGCUCUCCCCGGCACAGACGAUGCAUUCACCCAGGGUCAUUUCUUUGUUCUACCUUCUCUCCAAUCAAUGCAUAUUAUUCUUAAUAAUAGACAAACUCAUACUUUUGAAAUGACUACAAUUUUGAAACCACCUGGGCUACAGUGAGUCUCUCUGGCAAACAAACAGGUGAACAAAAGCAAACAAACAAACAAACAGCCAAAUCUUCAAGAAAAGAGGAAAAAAAUUAACUCUCAGGAAAUAAGACAUGAUAGUGGUUCACAACCUGUGGGUCACAUGUUACAAUUCCUAACAGUAGCAAGAUCAGUUAUGGAGUAGCAACUAGAUAACUUUAUGGUUUAGGCAAGGGGGGGGGGGUCACCAUAGCAUGAGGAAUUGUACUAAAGGGUAGCAGCAUUAGAAAGGUUGAGAACCACUGGUCUAUUGAGACCGCCUUGGAGAGGGGGCGAGGUGUAGGCUGGAGAGGAACUGUGGCAAUGGGAAGGAACAUUCUGGAAGCAUCCACUGAGUCCAACAUCAUCACUUCCACGAACUGCAGAGCAUAGCCUGAACAAAAGAUUUUCAAAGCAAACCCUAAACAGCUCUCCCUGCUUCCCCAUCAGUCAAGGGUCUGUAUGUCCACUGAAAAGCUAUCAAAGCUGCCGCUAAGGCCAGCAGACCAGGAGCAUAGCCUGACAGCCCCUUGGACACUAGCCACUAUGUCACUGCACAGGCAACUAAGGAACUCGAUUUCCUGAUACGGAGACUGUGCCUGUCUCAGGCUGAGCAUAGAAGCAUCUGCAUCCUUCCCCAUGGCUUCAGAGGCUGGGCAAGUCUGCCUUAGCACUCUCAAGUGGAGCUAUGGGGCACACUGCCAGGUCUAGCCUCCUGCACAGCAGAGCCCUCUGAGAGUUCAACUGUAGUUGAUGAACAGUGCCCCUUCCUCUGACCUGAAGCCCACACCUCUUGCCCUUCAGUAACAUUUACUUCCUCCCUCCUUGAGGAGCCUUGGCCUCAGAUGUGGGGGUUCAACUCCAAAGUCCCGGCUAAGGGAAGUUAAGGCAGGGAGAUCCCAACUUGAGGUCUGCCUGGAUUACACAGGAGUUUUAAGUAUCUAUUCCUCAUAAAUGCUCCUUUUUACCUCAAAGUUCCUAAGUCUGUGUGCUUGGCUUUGAGAAAACAUACUUUCUGUCUCAAUGAUACACUGGGGGUGUGGGGAUGGGUGUUGGGGGGGAUGACUCAAUUGGUAAAUAAGCCCUGGACCAGUGAAAGACCAUGUCUCAAAAACAGGGUCGAUGAGUCCUGAGAUUGACAGCUGGCCUUCACAUGCAAGAGUAUAUAUGCGGGGCUGGGGAUUUAGCUCAGUGGUAGAGCGCUUACCUAGGAAGUGCAAGGCCCUGGGUUCGGUCCCCAGCUCCAAAAAAAAAAAAAAAAAAAAAAAAAGAGUAUAUAUGCAUAUGCAUCUGAACACACACACUCACAUGUACAUGUACACACACACACACACACACACACACACACACACACACACUUUAAAAGUGAACUUUUAGAGUUCCCAAUGCAUAACAAGUGAUUGAAACAGUAUUACCAAUCCCGCAGCUGAUCAUUAUCUAUAUGUACUACAAUUCUACACCAAACUGAAUAAGUAUAUAAUGAUACUAUGAUAUAAUGAUCGACCUUAAAAGUGGGGUAUUGGGACUGAAGUGGUUUGAAUAAGAAUGGCCCUCAUCGGCUCCUAUCGCUGUUGCCUUGUUGGAGUAGGUGUGACCUUGUUGGAGGAAAUGUGUCAUUGGGGAUGGGCCUUGAGGUUUCAGACACCCAGGCCUGGUCUUUUAUGGAUUAGGAAACAGCUCUCAGCUACUGCUCCAAUAUGCUGCCAUGCUCCCCGCCAUGAUGAUAAUGGCCUGAAUCUCUGAAACUCAAUGCAAGCCCCCACUUAAACGCUUUCUCUUACACCAGUUACCUUGGUCAUGGUGUCUCUUCACAGCAACGGACCAGUGACAAAGACAGGGAUUCUGCUCCAUUGAUGGGGUACUUUUGCCACAUGCGUGAAAACGCAUGAAGCCCUGGGUCUGAGUCCCAGCGUUACAUAAACUGGUUGUGACACACAACGGUCAACCUGGCACUCAGGAGGUGAAGCUAGAAGGAUCUUAAGUUUAAAGUCACCCAGAAGGAUGGCUCAGAAGGCAAAGGCACUUUCUGAGUAAGGCUGGCAACCUGAAUACAACCCAGAGAAGCCAUGUAAAGGAGGAAGGAGAGAGUCAACUCUACACAUUAAUUAGUCUCUGACAUCUGCACAUGUGCGGAGGCACACUCACACCUAUACACACAAUGCACAGCGUGGGCAGCCAUGCACACAUGCACGCAUGCACUUACACACAUGUGUGCACACACAGAGCCCUCAGACUAUUAACACUAAUACACUUGUACUACUUGUACUAUUACUAAUACACUAGACUAUUAACACUCAUCCUCCUAAUAGCUUUUUUUUUUUUUUUUGGUUCUUUUUUUCGGAGCUGGGGACCGACCUAAUAGCUUUUUAAAAAGAAGCUCAGGGUUAUCCUAGGCUACAUUGGGAAUUUGAAACCUGGGAUACAAGAGAUCCUGACUCAAACAGCAAAGGAGGAACUCCUCUUCACUUGAUCUCUAUUCAGCCCCUUGGGCACUGAGGUCCUAGCCUCAGUUUCCCCAUCUAAGAACUCGAGCUCUCCUCUCGAUUCCCCGUCAUACUUCUAAUCUUCCUCCCAACUCUGCCGCCCUCUCCUGGGGAGCAUCGACUUUGCUCUUCCUUUCCCGGGACAUCCCCAGCCCUGGCUCUCCCCACCCAGCACUCUAUGGCUUAGCUUUAUGCUUGGAACAUCAAGGAGGAGGAUUAAGGACCCAAAGCUGUCUAGAGUAUACAACAGCUCAGUCACGGACCAUUCCCAUGAUGUGCAGUGAGCAAAACACUUGAUCCUCCAAGUCAGCUUCCUCCCCUGUAAAAACCAGGUUAAUAACAGCUGUUCACCUCCCUCACAGGUAUUCAGUGAGGAUCAAACAAGUGUGUGUGUGUGUGUGUGUGUGUGUGUGUGUGUGUGUGUGAGAGAGAGAGAGAGAGAGAGAGAGAGAGAGAGAGAGAGAGAGAGAGAGAGCUUUAGCUCAUCACAGCUAAUGCUAACAGUAUGAUCCCAUCAGCAGUUUAGUUUCUACUGAGAAUUACUAAUUUGGUAACAAUCACAUUUCAUUCAAAACAAGCAUAGCAUUUUCUAAAAUUGUGUGAGCAUGUACUUCUAUGCACUUCUAGAAGACAGCUGUAGUAGACAACAGUCAUUGAGCACAUAUCAGGUAAGGCACCAUCCUAAAGGGCUUUACAAGGGAGGUCUUACUGUUAUUUAUUUACAUUGUGCAGAUAGGGAAACUGAGGCAGGAUAGCCUCGCUGUGACUUAAACCCAGGCAUCUUACUCUAGAGCCUGCUCCCUUCACUCUUGUGCACUGCCCUACAACUCCAUUAGUGACAGCACAAGGGAGAGUGCAGAGGUGACAGUCUCUAAAACACAGGGUUGGCAGUAGGGUAUGGGGAGGGAGGGGAUAUACAUGUAAGAACCAUUGGGACCUCUAAAAAUAGACAAAGCUGUUCAAGUUGCAACCCUCAAGCGCUGGUGGGCACCAUUGGUGACUUCUAUAUCCUGAAGCUAAGGAGCUUCACAGGCACGGCUUUCUGAAACCCAACUAGAAGACUGUCCCACCACCCCCAGGGUGGUAGCAAUUCAUCCUACAGAAAUGACCACACAUGUAUUCAACAAAUAACCCAAUCAUGAAGCUUCUGAAAUGACAGAGAGAGAAGUGAUGUGUACAGCCAAGAGAAAGCUAGGGCCGAGAGACUGGGUAUGGAACGCAGUCGUGCAGAAUGGGUGGACGAGGGAUUAAUUAGCAGGUUGUUGAAGUGUGUGGAGCAGCCUAUGGGUGGGGUUUAUUAUCUCAGUGGUCCAAGUUUACAAGGUUCACAAGCUUGGACUCGUCUGUCGCUUAAUUUCCCAGAGCCUCAGUUUUCUCAGAGGCAAACGAUGACAGAGGUACCCAUCUCAUGGCAUCAUUCAUGGCUAAUAAACUGGCAGGCCGGGAAGAUGGCUCUGCAGGUAAAAGUGUUCGCUGUGCAAACCCGAUCACCUGAGAUCAGUGCUCACAAUCCACAGCGGAAGGAGAGAACCCAGUCCUGAACAUUGUCCUCUGACCUUUGCAUGCACGCACACACACACACACACACACAGUAAUAAAGGGAAAAAGGACUAAUCAUUAAAGGAGCCAAUCAUUUAAUGCCUGCAAAAAAGGGGUGGUACGGAGCCUGGCAAUAGGGUGGGAAUGUGGUAAAUGUCAAUCAUCUCCAGACCAAUCUAGUAACUGAACCACACACACUGCACAAGCUGGGAAAAUAACUCAGUGAGAUGCUAGCAUCUCUGGAAGAGAGAUAAUAAUUUUUCUCUUAAAUUCCCUGUAUUUUUACUUUUGUCAUUUGAAUUAAGCCAGCAAUAUAUUAAUAUUUAAACAUUUCCAUUUAUUUCUUAAUAAUACUCCUCUUGACCUAAUAAAUUCUUUCCAGUAUAAGCCAGUCUAUGCAUACUGUGUUUAUGGAAAUGGAGUAUUUUAUUGAUUGAAUCUGAGGAAUAGUACAUUUCCCCUCCAUUCUUCAGCGUCAAGUAGAGAGCUCGUAUUUCAUCCUAUAAAAAUAUUUUCUGCACUCUUAUACAUUUCCAGAUUAAGAGAGACCUGAAUGGAAUAUUAGAACAUAAAAAACAAACAAACAAACAAACAAACAAAA